UAAUGAUACUGCUUGCUGCUUGUACUUCUUGCUGGGUGAGAGAAAAGCUUAUUAGCAGAAUUAGCAUACUGGUUUCUAACCUACUUUUCUAUAGAGUGUGGUGAAAAUGCUAAAAUGUGAACUUUAUUUCAUCAGGUUUAUUCUGUGAACUGAAAGGAAGACAACACUCCUGAUCUUCUCCAUCCUCAUAAACAGCAAGAUUUCAGGAUGGCAUGAUGAGAUUCCAAAACAUCAAAUCCGGAAAGGAUGGGAAUCAGCUGAUUUCUUCUUGAGAUAACACUGAGGAAGAGCAUUACUGCAUGUCUGAUGGAGAACAGCAGACAAGUGAGAAAGUCAAAGGGUGAACAAGAAGUGCAGAAUUUCAUCACAAAAGCUGCACAUUGCAGAGGGAUUGACACCCAGAGAAACAAGCGGAGUUAAACAGGAUUUGACAGGUUGCAGAAAAGAGAGAGUGAACAAGAUGCAAACAGUGAGCAGCAACUACUUAUUAUUUUACUGGUCACCACAACACAUUAAAACUUUCAAAGGCUGUGAAAUUAAUUGCAUG
rnacentral:lncRNA from 1 species